GCUGUUGCGUGCACCUGCAGGCAGGGCCGGCGCCACCAUUAGGCAGCUUUAGGCAGCUGCCUAUGGGCGCCGGCCACUAGAGGGCGGCAACUCAUGCUGGUGAUACAAGAAUGCUUACUUUAUUAUUAUUAUAGCUGAGCUCCUUAAGAGAUGAGGAGCAGGGACGGCAGGCCAACUGUUAUCAGCCAGCCGGAAGCACAGCCACAGACAGUGUGUCAGCUGGACAGAGCAAAAUAUAAUUAACAUUGGAACUUGCCAUCAUCUGCUGUCGACACAGAAGGAAGACCCAGUAUAGCACAGGAACCUACACACCCCUUUAAAGUCGGAGACAGAGUCGUGGUGAAGGUGCUCCCCAGGAACAAGAGCCCAGGAGACUUCACCUAUGGUCCAGAGACAGAGGUCGUAGCAGUUACCCGGACAGCAGUCCUGACAGAGGAAAAUCCUGCCUGGAUCCAUGCAUCCCGAGUAAAAAAGGUUCCUAGACCAGACCUAGAGAGGGAAGCAAGUGAUUCCAGUGAGGUACGAACCGGGGCAGACAGCCCUGACCUCCCACCUAGCGAAGAAAGAAGAACAGAAGAAGAUGAGGAACCUGUCCCCUAUCUUUAUCCUGGGGACUAUCUCGAUAGCCCUACUGGCCCUCAUUCACCUCACACUAUGUGAAGUCGACAUCACACAAACAGAUGGGGUCCCCACCUUGUGGUACAAUUCCUCCAAUACACACGUAGCCACAUAUAUCCUUGACUAUUUUAUGUUCCCUAAACUUGCUGACAACAAACAUUUCAUACAGCAGAAAAGGAAAUCAGGAAUGUCUGAGACAGUAUAUAUUUGUGUUACUGACGAAUGGUACUAUGACAUUAGAUAUUAUGGAUCUAAUUGUAAUUCCUGGGAAGCUGUGGGGUGGAAUACAGGAGCAGAUUGGAAAUAUGGCCCAUCAUUUGCAAAAAAUAGAUAUAGCAAAUAUCCCCAAAACAAACCUUUAAAGCCCCAUAUUGCCACUUCUAAAGAUAUGGUGGCUAUUACUAACCCUACCUUUGAAGACACCCUAGCUAUUGAAACUGGUUUCCCUGACAUUAAUUUUGGUUGGAAUGGAUGAAGUAUAGUGCUAACAAACACAAUAAAAGCAACUGUUAUGUCUGUGGCAAAUCUAGGCCCCACCUAGGUACAGUGCCCCUUAAUAUACCCCUAGAACAAGAAAAAAAAUUUUUUCAGCCUUUUUAAUGAUCACCGAUGACCCCACUCCUCCCUCUAAUACUCCUGUUAAUCGAAAGAAAAGAGCACUCCCAGGAGGUAGCUUUGACCCCCACGUAUACAUUGAUGCUAUAGGGGUCCCAAGAGGUGUUCCAAAUGAGUUCAAAGCUAGAGAUGAGGUGGCUGCGGGUUUUGAGUCAUUGUUCCCUAUAGUAACUGUAAAUAAAAACGUAGCCUGGAUUAAUUAUAUAUAUUAUAAUCAACAAAGAUUUGUUAAUGAUACCAAAGAUGCUCUUAAAGGUAUAGCUGAACAGCUAGAAGCCACUUCCCAAAUGACAUUUCAAAAUAGAAUGGCCCUUGACAUGAUCCUAGCAGAAAAAGGCGGUACAUGUGUUUACAUUAGUAAGGUGGAAGGCUGUUGUACAUAUAUUCCUGACAACACUGGUCCCAAUGGUAAGGUUACUUUAGCCAUAAACGAGUUAGAAACCUUAUCCAUAGAACUUAAGAAAAAUUCAGGUAUUGAUAACCCAUGGAGCCAAUAUUUUGGGUGGUUUGAAAAUUGGAAACAGGCUCUUGUGCAAAUAAGCAUAUUUAUACUCAUAACUUUAAUUCUUUUAGGCAUUAUAGUUUAUUGUGUAAUCCCCUGUGGAAAGAAACUUACCUCCAAAGGCAUUGAUAAGGCCCUGAUGUACUAUGAUAUAACCACCAGUCCUGUCACCUCCUCUGAUAGUAAGGGACCCGACGAUUAUGUCCAAUAUCUCAAGAACUGGAGGAACAAGAAAGGAGCCUCACUCAAGAAUCAUGUCAUAUAAUAAUCAUGAUUCUAAGAGGGGAUUGAAGGGUUAGCUCUUCUGUCUUUGUAAAUAUUACUUUUUAUAUGAUCAAUUUCCUUAUAAUAAGUAUAGUGUAAAAGUGAAUAUUUCUACCUCCCUAAUGAAGGGUUAAACAUGCUAUAUGA